AACGCGAAGAACCUUACCAAGGCUUGACAUGGACCGGACCGCCGCAGAAAUGUGGUUUCCCCUUUGGGGCCGGUUCACAGGUGGUGCAUGGUUGUCGUCAGCUCGUGUCGUGAGAUGUUGGGUUAAGUCCCGCAACGAGCGCAACCCUCGUCGUAUGUUGCCAGCACGUGAUGGUGGGAACUCAUAUGAGACUGCCGGGGUCAACUCGGAGGAAGGUGGGGAUGACGUCAAAUCAUCAUGCCCCUUAUGUCUUGGGCUUCACGCAUGCUACAAUGGCCGGUACAAAGGGCUGCGAUGUCGUAAGGCGGAGCGAAUCCCAAAAAGCCGGUCUCAGUUCGGAUUGAGGUCUGCAACUCGACCUCAUGAAGUCGGAGUCGCUAGUAAUCGCAGAUCAGCAACGCUGCGGUGAAUACGUUCCCGGGCCUUGUACACACCG
rnacentral:rRNA from 1 species